rnacentral:rRNA from 1 species
GAUGAACGCUAGCUACAGGCUUAACACAUGCAAGUCGAGGGGAAACGAUAGAGAAAGCUUGCUUUUUCUAGGCGUCGACCGGCGCACGGGUGAGUAACGCGUAUCCAACCUGCCCAUCACUUGGGGAUAACCUUGCGAAAGUAAGACUAAUACCCAAUGACGUCUCUAGAAGACAUCUGAAGGAGAUUAAAGAUUUAUCGGUGAUGGAUGGGGAUGCGUCUGAUUAGCUUGUUGGCGGGGUAACGGCCCACCAAGGCGACGAUCAGUAGGGGUUCUGAGAGGAAGGCCCCCCACAUUGGAAC